rnacentral:rRNA from 1 species
UACUUGCUACUUUUGCCGGCGAGCGGCGGACGGGUGAGUAAUGCCUGGGGAUCUGCCCAGUCGAGGGGGAUAACAGUUGGAAACGACUGCUAAUACCGCAUACGCCCUACGGGGGAAAGGAGGGGACCUUCGGGCCUUUCGCGAUUGGAUGAACCCAGGUGGGAUUAGCUAGUUGGUGGGGUAAUGGCUCACCAAGGCGACGAUCCCUAGCUGGUCUGAGAGGAUGAUCAGCCACACUGGAACUGAGACACGGUCCAGACUCCUACGGGAGGCAGCAGUGGGGAAUAUUGCACAAUGGGGGAAACCCUGAUGCAGCCUGCCGCGUGUGUGAAGAAGGCUUCGGUUGGAAAGCACUUUCACCGAGGAGGA